CAAGUCGACGGUGUCUUCGGACAUAGUGGCGCACGGGUGCGUAACACGUAUGCAACCUACCUUACAUUGGGGGAUAGCCUUUCGAAAGGGAGAUUAAUACCGCAUAAGACAGUAGCUGGGCAUCCAGCAGCUGUUAAAGAUUUAUCGAUGUAAGCUGGGCAUGCGUCCAAUUAGCUAGUUGGUGAGGUAACGGCUCACCAAGGCUAUGAUUGGUAGGGGAACUGAGAGGUCAAUCCCCCACACUGGCACUGAGAUACGGGCCAGACUCCUACGGGAGGCAGCAGUAGGGAAUAUUGGGCAAUGGACGCAAGUCUGACCCAGCCAUGCCGCGUGCAGGAUGAAGGCGUUAUGCGUUGUAAACUGCUUUUAUACAGGAAGAAACGACUCUUGCGAGAGGCAUUGACGGUACUGUAUGAAUAAGCACCGGCUAACUCCGUGCCAGCAGCCGCGGUAAUACGGAGGGUGCAAGCGUUGUCCGGAUUUAUUGGGUUUAAAGGGUGCGCAGGUGGUUUAUUAAGUCAGUGGUGAAAGACGGUCGCUCAACGAUUGCAGUGCCAUUGAAACUGGUAGACUUGAGUAAAGUAGAGGUGGGCGGAAUUGAUAGUGUAGCGGUGAAAUGCAUAGAUAUUAUCAAGAACUCCAAUUGCGUAGGCAGCUCACUUGGCUUUUACUGACACUCAUGCACGAAAGUGUGGGUAUCAAACAGGAUUAGAUACCCUGGUAGUCCACACUGUAAACGAUGAUAACUAGGUGUCGGCCGAAUCUGGUCGGUGCCACAGCGAAAGCGUUAAGUUAUCCACCUGGGGAGUACGCCGGCAACGGUGAAACUCAAAGGAAUUGACGG
rnacentral:rRNA from 1 species